rnacentral:rRNA from 1 species
GUAGGUGGCAAGCGUUGUCCGGAAUUAUUGGGCGUAAAGCGCGCGCAGGCGGUCCUUUAAGUCUGAUGUGAAAGCCCACGGCUCAACCGUGGAGGGUCAUUGGAAACUAGGGGACUUGAGUACAGAAGAGGAAAGCGGAAUUCCAAGUGUAGCGGUGAAAUGCGUAGAGAUUUGGAGGAACACCAGUGGCGAAGGCGGCUUUCUGGUCUGUAACUGACGCUGAGGCGCGAAAGCGUGGGGAGCAAACAGGAUUAGAUACCCUGGUAGUCCACGCCGUAAACGAUGAGUGCUAAGUGUUAGGGGGUUUCCCGCCCCCCUUAGUGCUGCAGCUAACGCAUUAAGCACUCCGCCUGGGGAGUACGGCCGCAAGGCUG